rnacentral:rRNA from 1 species
AUUGAACGCUGGCGGCAUGCCUAACACAUGCAAGUCGAGCGGAGCGGCGGACGGGUGAGUAAUGCCUAGGAAUCUGCCUGGUAGUGGGGGAUCACGUCCGGAAACGGGCGCUAAUACCGCAUACUAUCAGAUGAGCCUAGGUCGUAUUGGCUAGUUGUGGGGGUAAAGGCCUACCAAGGCGACGAUCCGUAACUGGUCUGAGAGGAUGAUCAGUCACACUGGAACUGAGACACGGCCCAGACUCCUACGGGAGGCAGCAGUGGGGAAUAGUGGACAAUGGGCGAAAGUCUGAUCCAGCCAGGCCGCGUGUGUGAAGAAGGUCUUCGGAUUGUAAAGCACUUUAAGUUGGGAGGCGUUACCAACAGAAUAAGCACCGGCUAACUACGUGCCAGCCGCCGCGGUAAUUC